rnacentral:rRNA from 1 species
UAGUGGCGAACGGGUGAGUAACACGUGGGCAAUCUGCCCUUCACUCUGGGACAAGCCCUGGAAACGGGGUCUAAUACCGGAUAUGAGCCGGGACCGCAUGGUCCUGGCUGUAAAGCUCCGGCGGUGAAGGAUGAGCCCGCGGCCUAUCAGCUUGUUGGUGAGGUAAUGGCUCACCAAGGCGACGACGGGUAGCCGGCCUGAGAGGGCGACCGGCCACACUGGGACUGAGACACGGCCCAGACUCCUACGGGAGGCAGCAGUGGGGAAUAUUGCACAAUGGGCGAAAGCCUGAUGCAGCGACGCCGCGUGAGGGAUGACGGCCUUCGGGUUGUAAACCUCUUUCAGCAGGGAAGAAGCGAGAGUGACGGUACCUGCAGAAGAAGCGCCGGCUAACUACGUGCCAGCAGCCGCGGUAAUACGUAGGGCGCAAGCGUUGUCCGGAAUUAUUGGGCGUAAAGAGCUCGUAGGCGGCUUGUCACGUCGAUUGUGAAAGCCCGAGGCUUAACCUCGGUCUGCAGUCGAUACGGGCUAGCUAGAGUGUGGUAGGGGAGAUCGGAAUUCCU